rnacentral:rRNA from 1 species
AACCUUUAGCCGUUGAUCACUCGGCUCAUGGGGGGUGAAGAACGCAGCAAACGAGCGUUAUGGUGUGAACGGCUGGACACAGGCACAUUGACAUGUGGACGCAUCCCGCAGUCCAUGAUGUAAGUAAUUUAAUGAAUUUAUAGUGCUGGUAGGAAUACAUAUGGUGGAGGGUCG